GAUGAACGCUAGCGGCAGGCCUAAUACAUGCAAGUCGAACGGUGUCUUCGGACAUAGUGGCGCACGGGUGCGUAACACGUACGCAACCUACCUUACAUUGGGGGAUAGCCUUUCGAAAGGGAGAUUAAUACCGCAUAAGACAGUAGCUGGGCAUCCAGCAGCUGUUAAAGAUUUAUCGAUGUAUGCUGGGCAUGCGUCCAAUUAGCUAGUUGGUGAGGUAACGGCUCACCAAGGCAAUGAUUGGUAGGGGAACUGAGAGGUCAAUCCCCCACACUGGCACUGGGAUACGGGCCAGACUCCUACGGGAGGCAGCAGUAGGGAAUAUUGGGCAAUGGACGCAAGUCUGACCCAGCCAUGCCGCGUGCAGGAUGAAGGCGUUAUGCGUUGUAAACUGCUUUUAUACAGGAAGAAACGACUCUUGCGAGAGGCAUUGACGGUACUGUAUGAAUAAGCACCGGCUAACUCCGUGCCAGCAGCCGCCGCAG
rnacentral:rRNA from 1 species